UUACGGCCACAUCACAUUGAAACACGGGUUCCCGUACUGUCACCGAAGUUAAGCAAUGUCGAUCUUGGCUAGUACCUAUACGGGGGACCGUUUGCGAAUACCAGGCGCUGUAAG